UACGGAGGAGGCAAGCGUUAUCCGGAAUUAUUGGGCGUAAAGCGCGCGUAGGCGGCCGCGCAAGUCGGAUGUGAAAAUCUAGGGCUCAACCCUGGACCUGCAUUCGAUACGGGCAGGCUCGAGUUCGGUAGGGGAGACUGGAAUUCCUGGUGUAGCGGUGGAAUGCGCAGAUAUCAGGAGGAACACCGAUGGCGAAGGCAGGUCUCUGGGCCAUUACUGACACUGAGAAGCGAAAGCAUGGGGAGCGAACGGG
rnacentral:rRNA from 1 species